rnacentral:rRNA from 1 species
UACGUAGGGGGCAAGCGUUGUCCGGAUUCAUUGGGCGUAAAGAGCUCGUAGGCGGUUCAGUAAGUCGGGUGUGAAAGCUCCGAGCUCAACUCGGAGAGGCCACCCGAUACUGCUGUGACUUGAGUCCAGUAGAGGAGCGUGGAACUCCUGGUGUAGCGGUGGAAUGCGCAGAUAUCAGGAAGAACACCUGCAGCGAAGGCGGCGCUCUGGGCUGGAACUGACGCUGAGGAGCGAAAGCGUGGGUAGCAAACAGGAUUAGAUACCCUGGUAGUCCACGCCGUAAACGUUGGGCACUAGGUGUGGGGAGCCGUCAACGCUCUCUGUGCCGUAGCUAACGCAUUAAGUGCCCCGCCUGGGGAGUACGGCCGCAAGGCUAAAACUCAAAGGAAUUGACGGGGGCCCGCACAAGCGGCGGAGCAUGUUGCUUAAUUCGAGGCAACGCGAAGAACCUUACCUAGGUUGAACUAUGCAGGAAAAGCCACAGAGAUGUGGUGUCCUUCGGGGCCUGCGAGAG